rnacentral:rRNA from 1 species
AACGCGAAGAACCUUACCUACUCUUGACAUCCAGAGAACUUAGCAGAGAUGCUUUGGUGCCUUCGGGAACUCUGAGACAGGUGCUGCAUGGCUGUCGUCAGCUCGUGUUGUGAAAUGUUGGGUUAAGUCCCGCAACGAGCGCAACCCUUAUCCUUUGUUGCCAGCGAUUCGGUCGGGAACUCAAAGGAGACUGCCGGUGAUAAACCGGAGGAAGGUGGGGAUGACGUCAAGUCAUCAUGGCCCUUACGAGUAGGGCUACACACGUGCUACAAUGGCGUAUACAAAGAGAAGCGACCUCACGAGAGCAAGCGGACCUCAUAAAGUAUGUCGUAGUCCGGAUUGGAGUCUGCAACUCGACUCCAUGAAGUCGGAAUCGCUAGUAACCGUAGAUCAGAAUGCUACGGUGAAUACGUUCCCGGGUCUUGUACACACCG